GUUUCAUGUGUGAUUAUUUUACACAAUAUUUGGUGUUGUCAGCAGGAUUUGGAAGAAAAAGGACAUUAGUGCUGACUGCUCUAUGAUCGGUGUGACACUGCAAAACACAGCCGUACAAGGAUGGUCGCAGCUCAAGCCCGAGUCCGCCUUUCCUGACUGCAGAAAAAAAGAAAAGUAAUCACACACUACUUGGGCAUCGUACCCGCAUCCCCAGCUUGGAACCGCAGAGAACUAACCGCUGAGCUAAAAGUCCAGGGCGCCAGGCUGCCUCAUUGACGUAUAACUGCAACGGAAGAACUUGCCAUUGCACUACUACAUCAUUGUGUAUACUUUCAACAAUUUAUUUGUUUAUUAGAAAGUGGCCAUCAUAAAUGUAAUACAGACUCAUGAUUUCACAAGAGAAAAUAUUUGUCAGCUUCAGUGUCAUAAACAAUUCCAAAACAAAA